UACGGGGGGAGCAAGCGUUGUUCGGAUUUACUGGGCGUAAAGGGCGCGUAGGCGGUCAGCACAAGUCAGUUGUGAAAUCUCCGGGCUUAACUCGGAAAGGUCAACUGAUACUGUGCGACUAGAGUGCAGAAGGGGCAACUGGAAUCUCGGUGUAGCGGUGAAAUGCGUAGAAUAUCGAGAGGAACACCUGCGGCGAAGGCGGGUUGCUGGGCUGACACUGACGCUGAUGCGCGAAAGCCAGGGGAGCGAACGGGG
rnacentral:rRNA from 1 species